rnacentral:rRNA from 1 species
ACUGAGACACGGCCCAGACUCCUACGGGAGGCAGCAGUGGGGAAUAUUGCACAAUGGGGGAAACCCUGAUGCAGCAACGCCGCGUGAGUGAUGACGGUCUUCGGAUUGUAAAACUCUGUCUUCAGGGACGAUAAUGACGGUACCUGAGGAGGAAGCCACGGCUAACUACGUGCCAGCAGCCGCGGUAAUACGUAGGUGGAAGCGUUGUCCGGAUUUACUGGGCGUAAAGGGAGCGUAGGUGGAUAUUUAAGUGG